GGGACUGCUAUGGUCUUGACGCUAAUUAAGAUAUAUUUUAUGAUGCAAGUCGAGAGAUUAAACUCUCGUUAAUCAAAUAUAAAAUUAAAUGCAAACAAUAUUAUCAAAUUCUCUAGAUCUUGUGUAUUUACAGCAUAAAGAAUUUUAUAUAGAUAAAACCAAUUUUAUAUAAUUUAUAAUACUCAUUUGUCUUCUAAGUAAGUGAAACUUACUAAACUUGUGAAUGAAUAAAAUAUAUCUGAUUAACGGACGUGGGUUCGAAUCCCACCAGUUCCAA
rnacentral:tmRNA from 1 species